CCUACGGGUGGCAGCAGUGAGGAAUAUUGGUCAAUGGACGAGAGUCUGAACCAGCCAAGUAGCGUGAAGGAUGACUGCCCUAUGGGUUGUAAACUUCUUUUAUAAAGGAAUAAAACGAGGCACGUGUGCCUUUUUGCAUUUACUUUAUGAAUAAGGAUCGGCUAACUCCGUGCCAGCAGCCGCGGUAAUACGGAGGAUCCGAGCGUUAUCCGGAUUUAUUGGGUUUAAAGGGAGCGUAGAUGGGUUGUUAAGUCAGUUGUGAAAGUUUGCGGCUCAACCGUAAAAUUGCAAUUGAUACUGGCAGUCGUGAGUACAGUUGAGGUAGGCGGAAUUCGUGGUGGAGCGGUGAAAUGCUUAGAUAUCACGAAGAACCCCGAUUGCGAAGGCAGCUUACUAAACUGUGACUGACAUUGAUGCUCGAAAGUGUGGGUAUCAAACAGGAUUAGAUACCCCAGUAGUC
rnacentral:rRNA from 1 species